rnacentral:rRNA from 1 species
ACGAACGCUGGCGGCACGCUUAACACAUGCAAGUCGAACGAGAGAAGAGGAGCUUGCUUUUCUGAUCUAGUGGCGGACGGGUGAGUAACACGUGAGCAAUCUGCCUUUCAGAGGGGGAUACCGAUUGGAAACGAUCGUUAAUACCGCAUAACAUAAUUGAACCGCAUGAUUUGAUUAUCAAAGAUUUAUCGCUGAAAGAUGAGCUCGCGUCUGAUUAGCUAGUUGGUAAGGUAACGGCUUACCAAGGCGACGAUCAGUAGCCGGACUGAGAGGUUGAUCGGCCACAUUGGGACUGAGACACGGCCCAGACUCCUACGGGAGGCAGCAGUGGGGAAUAUUGCACAAUGGAGGAAACUCUGAUGCAGCGAUGCCGCGUGAGGGAAGAAGGUUUUAGGAUUGUAAACCUCUGUCUUCAGGGACGAAAAAAGACGGUACCUGAGGAGGAAGCUCCGGCUAACUACGUGCCAGCAGCCGCGGUAAUACGUAGGGAGCGAGCGUUGUCCGGAAUUACUGGGUGUAAAGGGAGCGUAGGCGGGAUCGCAAGUCAGAUGUGAAAACUAUGGGCUUAACCCAUAAACUGCAUUUGAAACUGUGGUUCUUGAGUGAAGUAGAGGUAAGCGGAAUUCCUAGUGUAGCGGUGAAAUGCGUAGAUAUUAGGAGGAACAUCAGUGGCGAAGGCGGCUUACUGGGCUUUAACUGACACUGAGGCUCGAAAGCGUGGGGAGCAAACAGGAUUAGAUACCCUGGUAGUCCACGCCGUAAACGAUGAUUACUAGGUGUGGGGGGACUGACCCCUUCCGUGCCGCAGCAAACGCAAUAAGUAAUCCACCUGGGGAGUACGACCGCAAGGUUGAAACUCAAAGGAAUUGACGGGGGCCCGCACAAGCGGUGGAGUAUGUGGUUUAAUUCGACGCAACGCGAAGAACCUUACCAGGUCUUGACAUUGAUCGCGAUCUGCAGAAAUGCGGAGUUCUUCUUCGGAAGACGAGAAAACAGGUGGUGCACGGCUGUCGUCAGCUCGUGUCGUGAGAUGUUGGGUUAAGUCCCGCAACGAGCGCAACCCUUACUGUUAGUUGCUACGCAAGAGCACUCUAGCAGGACUGCCGUUGACAAAACGGAGGAAGGUGGGGAUGACGUCAAAUCAUCAUGCCCCUUAUGACCUGGGCCUCACACGUACUACAAUGGCUGUCAACAGAGGGAUGCAAAGCCGCGAGGUGGAGCGAACCCCUAAAAGCAGUCUUAGUUCGGAUUGUAGGCUGCAACCCGCCUACAUGAAGUCGGAAUUGCUAGUAAUCGCAGAUCAGCAUGCUGCGGUGAAUACGUUCCCGGGCCUUGUACACACCGCCCGUCACGCCAUGGGAGUCGGUAACACCCGAAGCCUGUAGUCUAACCGCAAGGAGGACGCAGUCGAAGGUGGGAUUGAUGACUGGGGUG